rnacentral:rRNA from 1 species
UACGUAGGGAGCAAGCGUUGUCCGGAAUCAUUGGGCGUAAAGCGCGCGUAGGUGGCCAUUUAAGUCCGCUGUGAAAGUCAAAGGCUCAACCUUUGAAAGCCGGUGGAUACUGGAAGGCUAGAGUGUGGCAGAGGGGGGUGGAAUUCCACGUGUAGCAGUGGAAAUGCGUAGAUAUGUGGAGGAACACCGAUGGCGAAGGCAGCCCCUGGGCUAACACUGACGCUCAUGCACGAAAGCGUGGGGAGCAAACAGG